CUUAUUUCAUCAAUAAUUCCACAACUAUAUAGUACUUUGCAAUGUCAGACAUCUUUGUAGAAAAAUCUAGACAUUAGUUAAUCAUAUGAAAGCUUUUCAUAUUUUUCAUAUUUUUUUUUUAGAUUACUUACUUGUUUGUGAAAGACUAAAUUCAACAGAUUCCACAGAUUUUAAUCUUCUUUGAGUCAGGUGUGAACAAAUGCCCCUGAGGGGUGCUAAAAUGCACCACAUGGUGGGAAGUAUUUGUUUUUCACAUUGGAAAACAAGAUGCAGAUGCACUUGGAUGAAGGAUCAAGUCUGA
rnacentral:lncRNA from 1 species